rnacentral:rRNA from 1 species
UACGAAAGGUGCAAGCGUUGUUCGGAAUCAUUGGGCGUAAAGCGCACGUAGGCGGGGUCAUAUGUCGAUUGUGAAAGCCCAGGGCUCAACCCUGGAAUUGCAGUCGAAACUGUGGCUCUUGAAUACCUGAGAGGGUGGGGGAAUUCCUGGUGGAGCAGUGAAAUGCGUAGAUACCAGGAGGAACAUCGGAGGCGAAGGCGCCUACCUGGCAGGAUAUUGACGCUGAGGUGCGAAAGCGUGGGGAGCAAACAGG